rnacentral:tRNA from 1 species
CGGGGCGUAGCUCAGCCAGGUUAGAGUGCUCGGUUCGGGACCGAGAGGUCGGAGGUUCAAAUCCUCUCGCCCCGA